rnacentral:ncRNA from 1 species
AUAAAUGAGCGGUAAGACCGAUACAGGUUGUUCUGUGUGUUCCCUUCCAUAGGUUGGCCACAGCACAGACGUUUAGGCCUGUUAGGCACGCUCUUUUU